rnacentral:piRNA from 1 species
GAAGAGCCUAUGACCAGAAAC